rnacentral:lncRNA from 1 species
AAAACCCAAACCAGUAAAUGCCAAAUAGAGCCCUAUAGCUGCACACCAUUGAUUCUUGCUGCUAAUAAUACCGUCUUUUUCGUAAUUUUCCUCUUCCUUCGAUUAUUCUGCAUAAUUUAUUACAUCAUCCUCUUUCUUCUGCUGCCGCCGCCUUUCCAAAUUCAAUUCCAACUCCAGCAAACGAACCCAUUGCCUGUAAG